rnacentral:rRNA from 1 species
UUGACAUCCUGUGCUAACCCGAGAGAUCGGGCGUCCACUUCGGUGGCGCAGUGACAGGUGCUGCAUGGCUGUCGUCAGCUCGUGUCGUGAGAUGUUCGGUUAAGUCCGGCAACGAGCGCAACCCACAUCCUUAGUUGCCAGCAGUUCGGCUGGGCACUCUAAGGAAACUGCCCGUGAUAAGCGGGAGGAAGGUGUGGAUGACGUCAAGUCCUCAUGGCCCUUAC